rnacentral:rRNA from 1 species
UGCUUACACAUGCAAGUCGAACGAUGAAGCUGGAGCUUGCUCCAGUGGAUUAGUGGCGAACGGGUGAGUAACACGUGAGCAAUCUGCCCUUGACUCUGGGAUAACUGCGGGAAACUGUAGCUAAUACCGGAUACGACACCUUGGGGCAUCCCAGGGUGUGGAAAGAAUUUCGGUCAAGGAUGAGCUCGCGGCCUAUCAGCUAGUUGGUGAGGUAAUGGCUCACCAAGGCGACGACGGGUAGCCGGCCUGAGAGGGUGACCGGCCACACUGGAACUGAGAUACGGUCCAGACUCCUACGGGAGGCAGCAGUGGGGAAUAUUGCACAAUGGGCGCAAGCCUGAUGCAGCAACGCCGCGUGAGGGAUGAAGGCCUUCGGGUUGUAAACCUCUUUUAGCAGGGAAGAAGCGAAAGUGACGGUACCUGCAGAAAAAGCACCGGCUAACUACGUGCCAGCAGCCGCGGUAAUACGUAGGGUGCAAGCGUUGUCCGGAAUUAUUGGGCGUAAAGAGCUCGUAGGCGGUUUGUCGCGUCUGCUGUGAAAAUCCAAGGCUCAACCUUGGACCUGCAGUGGGUACGGGCAGACUAGAGUGCGGUAGGGGAGAUGGGAAUUCCUGGUGUAGCGGUGGAAUGCGCAGAUAUCAGGAGGAACACCAAUGGCGAAGGCACAUCUCUGGGCCGUAACUGACGCUGAGGAGCGAAAGCGUGGGGAGCGAACAGGAUUAGAUACCCUGGUAGUCCACGCCGUAAACGGUGGGUGCUAGUUGUGGGCCACAUUCCACGUGGUCCGUGACGAGGUUAACACAUUAAGCACCCCGCCUGGGGAGUAUGGUCGCAAGGC